rnacentral:rRNA from 1 species
UACAGAGGUGGCAAGCGUUGUUCGGAAUUACUGGGCGUAAAGGGCGCGUAGGCGGCGGGGUAAGUCGGGUGUGAAAUCUCAGGGCUCAACCCUGAAACUGCACUCGAUACUGCUCUGCUUGAGGACUGGAGAGGAGACUGGAAUUCACGGUGUAGCAGUGAAAUGCGUAGAGAUCGUGAGGAAGACCAGUGGCGAAGGCGGGUCUCUGGACAGUUCCUGACGCUGAGGCGCGAAGGCCAGGGGAGCAAACGGG